GCAGAGGAUAAACAAAGAAAGUAGACAAUCUUAGUCAUUUUGACUUGAAAAGGAAAACACGCAAAAAAAACAAAAAUUGGUCAUUUAGUAACAGUAAUCAACAUCAUCUCCCGAGGAUUCCUGGAUAUAAGACUAAACAAAAACACAUUUAAUAACAGGUCAUGUGUAUUUCCACAAAUGUGAGCUGCAUGAUCUGAAUGAAAACUUAUAGGCAACUGCUUUUAAAAGUAAAAAAAAUAAAUUAAAUAAAAACAAAAUUCCUUUAAGAAUGAAAAAGGAGGGGAUAAAAGACUGGCGGAUGAUAGAGGAGGGUUUGACAUUUGUAAAAAUAAAAAUGUGAUUCAUCUGCAGUCUGUCAUGUCAAGUAGAUCCUUAAGGUGUGUGUUAUCAGACAGAGGACUCAUUUAACAUUUACUCCCUUUUCUUGCAUCUCUGAGUGCACUUUUGAAAUGGCUGACAUUUUAAUUCGUUGAAUGUCAUAAUCCCUGUUUCUUAAGAACAAAACCAUAACUCAGAACAGGAAAACACAGACUGAAAACGGUCAUCAUUGCUUUGGACAAACAAAUGUCAAAAACAAAAACUGAAAAAUAACUGUCCACUGGAAUAGACCUGUUUCCCAAUAAGACAUACAGUACUUUGAAAGCCCAAAAGUUUUUUUUUUGUGUUUUUUCAGCUAUUUCUGGAAGAUUCUGCAGCAUUGCCAAGACCCUUCAAGAAGACAGUAUCAGAUCUGCAGCUGAAUAAUAUGGGUUUAAUUAACCAUAGAAAAAACGUAUAGAUUAGCUUUAGCAUAAUAAGUAAACAUUGUUUGAAAUUGUUAACUACACCCAACUGGCGACCCAUUUAGGGAGUACCUAAAUGGAUUUAGUGGUUCAUCAUAUUUUAUGACGUUUUUUAAGCCCACACAUUUAUCAUGUGCAUAAUUUGGUAUUCAUUUUGUUUAUGGAACAAGAGCAUUUCCUGGAUCACCUGAAGUCAGCAAGGUGACCGAAUCCUCCAUCCAGGCCUGCAGUGUCCUGUUCCUAAGCCAACACAGAUGUCUUACACCUGCCUCUUCAUUGGCGCACCUGUUUUUCCAUGCGUGGGUGAAGACGGCGAUGUAGGAGGUCCUUCUUAAACCGGCAAUAGACUGAUAAU
rnacentral:lncRNA from 1 species